CACAAGAUCCAGCGCACUCACCUAUCCACUAAACAGCAACUUCAAAGUUGAAAGAUUUUGUUUUUAAAACCUAAUCUAGGCAAAAAUAAUGGGGUUUUGCCUAGAUUAGGUGUUUUUAAAAACAAAAAAUCUUUCAACAUUGAAGUUGCUGUUUAGUGGAUAGGUGAGUGCUGAUCUUGUG